GAGACAUCGCAAGAACCAUAAUAAUGACUAUUUCAUUACUUCAGAGAUCCCAAAAUCCUCAGAGGCGGUGAAAAUUUAAAAGCUCCUUUUCUAUGAUGGAAAGAAAAGUGCUCCUACAAGGAGGAACACCAAAACAUUGGCUGGCAGCUGCCAUUUGAUAAAGAGUGAGGACCAUAUCACACUACAGGGCUGCAACUGUCAGGAGAAACUUAAAGGCUCCAGAUUGUUCUUACACCAGAUAAACCCUGAAACCCAGAGGGUCCAGUCUCUCCAAGAACAUCAACCAGUUUCAUUACUCUACCUCAUACUGUCAGCACCCCUUCUCAGCACAAAGAAGUCAGAAUCGUCGUUGCCCAGGAAAUAUGUUUUGCUAUUUUCUCUUAAUACUGACCUCACCUGAAUCACCCCGAUAACAUCUAAAGCAAGUAUUUCAUCACUUGGUGAGAUAUUUAGAACUCUCCUCUGAGUCUCUACAAGAUACUGUAAGGACAACAAACAUUGAGGAAAAAGGAAAUGUCAUUGAUUAAACA